rnacentral:piRNA from 1 species
CAGCAUUUCAUGGGACCCAUCCUGACC